CAUUAAGGGUAUACAUGGUACACAGCGGUAAACAUGAGGUUAAAAAUACGCGAAGUAACAUUCAAACCGGGCUGUUAAAAGAAUCAAUUCGAUGUUUAAAUUUUUAAAAACAAAACUUUAAAGAAGCCAAGAUGAGACGUUCUUUGCUUAAAACAAACAAAACAACAGUAACUUGUGUGGUGGAAAUGUUAGCAGCUAGCAAGUGUCUCUCUGCUAUUUUAAAUGAUACACAGACGAUCUUUUGUUGUUUAAAAGCUCAUUGCUUUAGUGCUGGUAGAUGCUGCUUAUUUUUCAAGACGGUUUUAAUAGCUUUAUAUUGAUUUGUAACAAAGCCAGCUUCACUUUGAGAGAACCUAGAUGCUAAUUGUAAAGAAGCUUGGAGUCAUAAUAUAUUUUAACGUAAUGUGUUUGCUGUUCUUCAUCUUUUUAAAUAUGAAGUCUAUCCAUGUUUGUGUUUUACAGAGGUCAUGUACACUGUGGUCAACUUUGUAGACGCUGAAGAGGUUUCUGGGUAAAGAUGAUAGAAAUAUAAUGAAGUAACAGUGGAAGCUAAAACAUCAGACUGAUCCAGACACUGAAGAAAUUGAUGUCACUGCAAUCUGGCCAAAAUGAUACAACUCUAUUGAAGUAGCCUACUGUAAUGAAGCUGCAGAACGUCACAGAGACUCUGAGGAAAUCAACACAGAAAAUCAAGGCUCCAAAGAGAUGUCUGUCCAGAUGAGGGUGCAUCAACGUUACCUUUGCUGACAAGUAUAUGCUUUACAAUGUAAAACCUAACAGUUAACUUAACUCAAACCAUUUAAGGAAAUCGGUUGCCUUAAAUCAUUAAGUUUUAAAAAACAUACAUUUGAGUACUGUGAACUUAAGUCUUGUGCAAUUAUGCACUCAUAUUUAGGUAGUGUGAACUUAAAUAUAAGUGCUUAACUGCAUGUGACUCAAUUUGUUUAAGUUCACAGUACUCAAAUCUAUGUGUUUUAAAACUUGAAUGGUUUAAUUUAACCGGUUUUCUUUUCUUGUGAGAAAUUACAGUGUUACAGUGAGAAAUGUUUGAAUAAUUCCAAGUCAGAGCUCUGUGAUUGAUUCUACACUGCAAAAAAAUCACUUUGUAACAAUUUUUAUCUUGUUUUCAGUAGAAAAACUAAAAAUUCUUAAAUCAAGAUGUAUUUUCUUGAUGAGCAAAAUUACCUUAGAAAAUAUGUCUAGUUUUUAGACAAA